CAGAGUUAUACUGACAGCCAUAACUAAAUUGAUUGCACAGAACCCAUCCUUUGAUGCAAGGAUGUUCACCAACUGCAGUCUUAAAUAAGCUAUUUGCAGAGGUUCUGGCUUUGACUGGAGUAUAACAGAAACAUUUCGUGAAAUAAUAGAAAUUUUGAGCCUUUAUGUUGUUGGUUUCCUGUCUGCCUUGAAUAUAUGAAUUCGUAACAACUACCAAAGCAAUCUUUCAUUUUUUUUUUCUUUUUUUCAGACCGAGUCUCGUUCUGUAGUCCAGGCUGGAGUGCAGUGGCGGGAUCUCCACUCACUGCAAGCUCCACCUCCCAGGUUAAAGCCAUUCUCCUGCCUCAGCCUCCUGAGUAGCUGAGACUACAGGCACUCACCACCACACCCGGCUUAUUUUUUGUAUUUUUAGUAGAGACGGGGUUUCACCGUGUUAGCCAGGAUGGUCUCGAUCUCCUGACCUCGUGAUCUGCCUGCCUCGGCCUCCCAAAGUGCUGGUAUUACAGGCGUGAGCCACCACGCCAGGCCACAAUCUUUCAUUUUUAUAAUAAAUCAUUCAUGUGUAAUUGGUUUUAUUCUGAUCAUGAUGCUGAAACUAAAUGUUUUGGUCUUGGGUGAUAAUGGAAGCUUAAAGGUAAUAUCAACUACAAAGAGAGUUUUUAAAUGUUUGGCCUGAAUAUUAUCAGCUUAAAAUUUGCACUAUUCUAUACCUGUUUCCCUUACAUAUCAAUUACUACUAUAUCACAUUUCAUUGGGUAGGAAUAAUAAAUAUUUUCAUU
rnacentral:lncRNA from 1 species